CUGCAUGGCUGGUGAAGAGGACGGAUCCUCCGUCUGCUUAGUCGUUUUGUGAAGCCUUCACUCCACGCAAGAUCUUGACUAUACAUCCUAUCUCGAAUAUCGACAGCUUCAAAUUAUUCGUUCAGUAAAGCCUCACUUUAAAUAAUGGUAUUUAUACUAAUGAUUGAGCUUAUAAAACACCAGCUUUUAUUCAUACAAAACAUUUUGUAGGCCUAGAAACGAAUGUCUCUCUGCGCUGGCUGGUAAACAGACUAGGCUACUUCACAACGCCAUGAUACCUGGUUUAGAAUUCGGUUGUGUUUUUAAAAUACUUCUACUUUUGGCGUGUUUUGCUGCGCUGUUUGUUGCACUUUUAUAACGUUAUGCUAGGCUAUGUUAACAUUCAUAACCAUCUAUUGAUAUGUGCCUAUCGAAACAUAAACAUUUAUUAUUUUAACAGCUAGACAUUUAGCCUAUCAUUUACAAGUAAAUACAUUAGUUUCAUGGAACCAUAUCCCUGUUUUCGAAAAUUUCCUCCAGAUGCCAUAUCAAAAAAAGAAGAGAGAAAGAAGUGAGAUUUGAAGAGCUACAUCCGGUUAAAACUGAGCUGAGGCGAACUCCUUAUACCUUGGAGGAGUUAUUCAGGAGUUAUUAAAUUGAACGGAAUGUCUUACAUCUUCAAAACAGAUGGAUUUAAGAUGAGGAUAGGCCUUCUAUUUUGCAUUAUUAUUUCAAAUCUACGGAAGCAUUAUACGCUACUUUUUCAACAUAGUUCUGUACCAUAUAUUAAAUGUAAAAUGUAUGCAAAAAUGACAGAAAAAUGAUUGACUAUUCGAAACCAUAGCAUAUCAUAUUAUUUAUAGCGGCAAGGGUUCAUGAGUAGACAAUGGUAGGCUAUGCGAGAACCUUUGUAGGGAAUCUCAAUAGGCUACUGCUCAUCAGACAUGGCACGUGCAUUUUGCAAGAUGCAACCGGGUGAUAUUGUCAAACUUCAUACUAUCGGGUACCAAAGGUUGUGUGUGAUUCCUGUGUAGCAAUAUAACUUUCUCGAAAUACCAUUGUGUAUACCUUUAAGAAGUCCUUUUGCUGAUCCUUGAUUGAGUUGGACUACGUUUGUUAAGGAGCGCUUGGCGCCAGUCUGCUGGCGUCCCACAACAAGAACCCUUUCCUGUCACUUCAUAUUUAACCCCAAAUCUUCAAACAGCGUGCUCCAAUCCCCUCUGCAUUCCCUCUAAGGCUGCAGCCCAUGGUAGAUCUUUAACUUCGGAUUUCCUGCACUUGCCACAUAUCGGCGAUAGUUUGGCUAUAAUUAUUUAUUCCAAUGCGGAUUCUUAAUUAAUGAAUGAAGAGUUUCCCAGACUCAAACCCAGUUUAAAACAUUCAAACUUCAGCUGAAUACACCGGACCUCUGUCACAAUGGCCUAGCAGAGAAUGAGGGGGAGGCCAGCUAACCUCCUGUGUUGUGGACUGUAAGGUGGAUGCAAUAACCUGAAAGGUCAGCAUCUCCCCAUAUCAACACUGCCACACUGACCGGUGGAAUGUUCACAUCAGGGUCAGGAGCAUCAGAAGAAGACUAAAAGGAUCCAGCAAAUGUGUUUGUUGUGUCAUCAUAGUGGUCUCUGACUUGUGGUCAGACUCAGUCAGGUGGAACAACAUGACUGAUUUUCCGCUAGCUAGAGGUUAACUUAAAUGUUUUCCUUUUUUAAGGCUGAAUUGAAUGUCAUUGAGAAAACAGAAAGGUGUCAUAAUAUACAGUAUAUAUUUUUUGCAAACAUUAUUUCUGCAUAUAAGGGUUACCAACACAUAAGGUAAUCAUCUAGUUUUUCUAAAGUGUCUGUAAUCUGAUUACAAUAUUUUUACUAGUAAUGUAAUUGAUUAGUUACAAUUUUGUAAUCAGUUACUUCCCAACACUGGUGGGAGGGGUAUACCAGCUUUACCAUCGGACACUAAUCACCUGAUUAUAAAAAAAUGACAUACUCUCUCCAUCGCUUGUUGAAGGUGUUUGAUAUAGGCUCUUAAAUUGAGGUGGGUUAUCAAUAUGUAUUUGUCAAAGGCUCUGGACAGCGAGACUAUCAGUAUCUGUCAGAUGGAAUGCAUUAUCUCAGUAACCAGAAAUAUGUGUAAACAUCUUGGGAACAAUUUGCUCAAAAUAUUAAAGGCAAAGUU